rnacentral:tRNA from 1 species
GAGCAUAUUAGAUGUAUUCUGCAAAAGUACAGUUGGGUAAUAAGUUUUACCGGUGCUUU